UACGGAGGGUGCAAGCGUUGUCCGGAAUCACUGGGCGGUAAAGGGCGCGUAGGCGGCUCGGUAGGUAGGGGGUGAAAAUCCUGCGGCUUAACCGCAGGGCUGCCUUCUAAACUGUCGAGCUCGAGCACGGUAGAGGCAGAUGGAAUUCCCGGUGUAGCGGUGGAAUGCGUAGAGAAUCGGGAAGAACAUCAGUGGCGAAGGCGGUCUGCUGGGCCGUUGCUGACGCUGAGGCCGCGACAGCGUGGGGAGCAAACAGG
rnacentral:rRNA from 1 species